rnacentral:rRNA from 1 species
AGACCCGAAACCCGGUGAUCUAGCCAUGGGCAGGUUGAAGGUUGGGUAACACUAACUGGAGGACCGAACCGACUAAUGUUGAAAAAUUAGCGGAUGACCUGUGGCUGGGGGUGAAAGGCCAAUCAAACCGGGAGAUAGCUGGUUCUCCCCGAAAGCUAUUUAGGUAGCGCCUCGUGAAUUCAUCUCCGGGGGUAGAGCACUGUUUCGGCUAGGGGGCCAUCCCGGCUUACCAACCCGAUGCAAACUGCGAAUACCGGAGAAUGUUAUCACGGGAGACACACGGCGGGUGCUAACGUCCGUCGUGAAGAGGGAAACAACCCAGACCGCCAGCUAAGGUCCCAAAGUCAUGGUUAAGUGGGAAACGAUGUGGGAAGGCCCAGACAGCCAGGAUGUUGGCUUAGAAGCAGCCAUCAUUUAAAGAAAGCGUAAUAGCUCACUGGUCGAGUCGGCCUGCGCGGAAGAUGUAACGGGGCUAAACCAUGCACCGAAGCUGCGGCAGCGACACUGUGUGUUGUUGGGUAGGGGAGCGUUCUGUAAGCCUGUGAAGGUGGCCUGUGAGGGUUGCUGGAGGU